GCAUUGGGUCUUCGAUGGUGCGCGCGGGCUUUCUCUAGUUGCAGCGCGAGGGGGCUACUCUUCGUUGCGGUGUGUGGGCUUCUCAUUGCGGUGGCUUCUCUUUGUUGUGGCGCAAGGGCUCUCAGCACGCGGGCUUCAGUAUUUGUGGCACUCGGGCUCCGUAGUUGCGGCUUGCGAGCUCUAGAGCGCAGGCUCAAUAGUUGUGGCGCACGGGCUUAGCUGCUCCGCGGCAUGUAGGAUCCUCCCCAACCAGGGUUCAAACCCGAGUCCCCUGCACUGGCAGGCGGAUUCUUUACCACUGGCCACCAGGGAAGUCCCCAAUCAAUAUUCUUAAUAUGAACCAUAAUUAAGACAGUGCUCUCAAAUCUAUGCUAGAUCUCAAAUAGCCUUCAAGGUCAAUAUAGUACCUUCAUCCUUCAAAUCAAUAUAGGACCUCUAGCCUUUAUUCUCAAUCUCUUGAAAGCUUUUUGUCAUUUUUUAAUUGUCCCUUGUAAUCAUUUAAAAAAGAAUUAGGUUGUAUAACAUUUAUUUUUGGGAAACCCAAUACUCUGUUAAUAAUUAUUACUUAAAAAUUCAAAUAUUCUUAGAGUUGCACUGGCAUCUCCUAAUACAAAAGACAAAACAGACAAACAUAAGAGAUACGAAAAGCAAUGAAUACUUGGGAUCAGUUAGAAGAAAUAUAGCCAGAUUUACUUUUUAUCUGCCUAAGCCAUAUACAAUACACAAGGCAUGGCCCCUUGUACAAGGGACUUAGAGAAAUUCACUUAGGAUACAUGUGACAUAAACAACAUAAUGUUCACCCUUCGGAAGAGAAGGCUAAAGAUGUAACAGCUAUCUUUAAAUAAUUGAAGGCUGUCAUGUGGAAGGAGUAACUUGUUCUAAGUUAUUUCAAGGACAGAACCAAGAAGAGGAGGAGGGGAGUUAAGAAAAAAAUCAAAUUUUUAAUUUGUAGCACUUUCGAUUGGCAUUGCCAGCUAAUAAAAUAGUCCAUCUAAUGAAAAGCUAUAGCUGGCUUGGGUUGAACAAAGUAGCUUCUAACACUCCUCCCAGUUUUGAUUCAGUGACAAUCUUUCCCACCUCCAUAGGCUAUCCUCAAAGGUAAAAGGAACCAUUUUAACAAUAUUGGUUGGACCAAGGUCCAGCUGAAUCUUCAAUUUUUCCAAAAGUGAGUUAGCGUGAAGAAUUCUAAGUAGAGUGAGAUUUAUAAGCAGUGUAUAUAUACAUAUGGGAAAAGUUCAGUUAGUUUAGGCUUUAUUUUCUACUUUUUAGAAAAAUGACAAGUAUUUGUCAUCUCAUAAAUAACUCUGAGCACACUUUAUAAUUUUCACUAUAGUAUUAUCUUCCUUUGUGAAACUAUAUAAACACAAAAUUCAUAUGAUCCUCACAAAUCCAUUAGCAUUCAAAAAUUCCAUAAAAGUAGCUUUAAUCAUUUUUUGCUCCGGAAUUGAACACUAACAUUAAUUAUUUGAAUAAUCCAUUCAAAAAGGAAAAUCAGAUUAACUUUGUGAAGGGUACAAAAUUAAAACUUACUUUAUAUUUUUAAUGUAUAAACUUUAUUUUUUGAUUCAAUUUCAGUAUAAACGGGUAGUCUGUACUUCUCAUAUGUUUAAAAGAGGCUAAAUUGACAAUCUACAUUUUAUAAAACCUUUGACAAGGAAACAGAUUACAUGGGACCUCUGUCUAAUAAAGUUAGACAUCACCAAGUAUUAUAUAUUUUGAAAGGAUUGUAUUUGAAAAGACUGUAGGUUCUUUAGGUCAAAUUUUUUGGAAACAAUUACAUAUCAAAAUUAGACAUCACUGGACACACCGCCAUAAAGUUUCUCUCUCCAUCAAUGAAAAAUAGCAAAUCAGGUUUCAUACCCAUCAAAAGCCUAAUCGUCAAGGAAGCACUUAGGAUGAAAACUGGUCUCAAUUCAGUAUCAUUACAUUUAAUAUCCACCUCUAAAAGACAAAGCAAAGCAAAAAAUACUAUCUAUAGUCAUAAGGACUUAUUUUGGAAGUUGAUAAAAUCAGCUCAGUACAGUGAUUUGCAUUUAGAAGGAAUAAAAUACAAAUACCUAGUAGGAUAUAAUCUUAGAAAGCACACAUAUGGAUAGUAUUGUGACAAUGAGUAUUCAUUUAUUAAAAGCAAACUUCAGGAAAGCAUUCCUAUUAAACAUGGUUAGUUUUGAUAACAGGAUGUCAGUGAGCAAAAAGCCUGAUGAGGAAGCAAGAAUAUCAGUUACUAAGUACUAUUAUACCCACCUCUUCAAUUAUACCCCUGAUUAUCUUGAAAAAUAUAAUAGUAGCUCUAAGGACUUUAGACAUACUUCUGGGUUUAUGGCAUUAUUUGCCUUUCAUAUUUUAUUGAUUUCCAACUUGAAAAGUAUAGGCCCAAAGGGUAAUAUUUUAUGACACUAAACCAAAUGCAUAUUCUAGGAAAAUUCCUCUCUUUUAAUGUAGUCUAUGGAAUUUUCCUGCCCAAUUCUAUGCUAGUAUUUUAUCUUUUUGUUGUUGUUUUUAGAAGCUUCAUCAACCCUUUAAAUCCUUAGGACAAAACUGCCCUUAAAUUUUUCUAAGAAGAAGGUAGACGGCCAUCCAAAUUUUUUCAACAUU